UAUUCUUUGUUUUUAGCCUUAUCUGCGUGAAUUUGAAUAAUUACUUUGUUAUAGGCAACAUAGCAUCCUUGAUUAAUGUAGAAAUGUGAUGCCAUCUUGAUCUUUGUUCAGGUUGAGAGAUUUGUGACAGGCUUUGUAGUUGUAAUAUUUUAGAUCUGGGACAAAUUGAGACAUAGCCAAGAGAAUGAACCCUGUAACACAAGGCUUAGCUAUUUUUAACUCAACCUACCUGAGUAUUAUGUGAUGUUUCAAGCUUAAAAAGAUCAUUUCCUCUUAAUAUCAUAGGCUUUCAAAUGGGUGAUCCCUUAAGGGCCAACAGACACUGAUAUUUGAUGUACGAGGACAAAAACAAGCUCAAAUAUGAGGAUGAAAUAUGUGCUUAAAUAUAAAAUAUCAAACAUAACCAGCAAGUUGUUAACAUGUUUCUCAAAUGAUUAAUGGAUUGCCAAAUUCUGCACCUCUACAUAUGUUUCCACAGGUCAGGCUUCUCCUACAUUAUAAUCUUCAAACUACCUCACCCAAAUGUAUCUCAUAACAGCAUUCUCUCCAGGGAGCUCCCAAUGUGGGUGGAGGUGUUGGUGGUGGGUCUCUUGAUUUCCUUAGAAAUAAUGAACAGUUGGUUUAGAGAUGAAGGCAGAUGCGUAUACCUGGAAUGGAAGAAGGAAAAAAAUAGCUACGUCUUUUAUUGAGAACAUGUCCAAUUACUUUGACAACAUAGAUGCAAAAGGUCAGAUUCGGAAGCUAGCAGAUCAAAACUCCAUCGGCCUUCAGUUCUGUUCUUCAGGAUGUGCUCUUUGCAGCUGAGGAUUAGUUUUUUUAUUAGUAUUGUGUUUUUUAUGCUAUGUUAAUUUUUUUGAGUGACUAUUUGUUGAGAAUUUUCAAGUGCUGGAUGCAAUUAUCUAGUUUCCAUUUUGAAGUGUUGGAUGCAAG